CAAGUACUCCCUCCGUCCGGAAAUACUUGUCAGAGGAAUGAAUGUAUCUAGACGUAUUUUAGUUUUAGAUACAUCCAUUUCUAUGCAUUUCUCCGACUAGUAUUUCUGGACGGAGGGAGUAUUAU
rfam:Triticum aestivum genome assembly, contig: Triticum_aestivum_CS42_TGACv1_scaffold_327936_4BS